UUAGCCCGGGUUGCUCUCGCCACUCACCUCGCCCCGGUCCUGCCCACAGCCGGAGCACAGAUCCACCUUCUUAUCCCCUGUUCCUCGCUGCGCCUGAAGUCGCACUGAAGAGCAUAAGGAGCCAUCAUCUCCCGAAAAAAGGAUAGAGGACACAUGGACUACAUGCUUCUCCUCCAGUAUGGCCAAUAUGUCAGGCUGCUGCCUAUGGAUGUUGUUUUCAUUGCACGUUUCUGGGUGGCAGAGAUAUCAGGUCCUGUCAAGGAGUCAAGAGCUAAAAUUUGGUUCUCCAAACUAAAGCAAGGAUGGAAGAAACCUGAGAAAUUAUUCAAAUUCUGCUCAUCUAUUUUGUCUUAAAAUUGUGCCAUUUCUGACGUUGCUGGACAGGGACUUCAUUGUUGAAGAGUUCAAGAAGAAAGAACUGAUACUUAUGUUUGAAGGUUUAUUUAAUUUGCAUGGCAUGGUUCCAAUUCACCAAGAAAAAAGCCUUGAGAACAGCUGAACAUCUGUUCUCAGGUACUUCCAAUUGUGUCUAUAUUCUUCUUGGCUGCUUGCUAAG